ensembl:lncRNA
GGGGAAACAUCUUCAAAUGUAUCUUGUCUAUAAGAAUGACUGAAUGGGAGCCAGAGUAUAUGUCCUCUCUUGCCUGAAUCUUUUGAGCUCAGCAAUUGGAUAUCUAUAAACCUUUUAUAUUCACAUUCUUCAUCAGAUGGAAGACAUCCUGGAUGUGGAUUCCCUAAAGCAUAAGGCAUCUCAGCCCCUGUAAUGCUCAAAAGCAUAGAGUGAGGGAAAAAAUGCAGACGACAAAAACAACACUAACUGUGGUCACAACAAUGAGGAGACAAAAGAUCUGCCCCAAAUGAAUCAGCAUGAAAUGGUGGAUUAAGUCUGUAAUUAAGAGGUCAGAAGAAUGUGUAAUAUAAGCUUAAUUGUGAAGAUCUGUUUUAAUUAGAUCGAUUAUUUCGGCAGGCACCAUCAAGUCUCUCAUGCGAAAAGGGGCCCUUUACAAGUGAUAUAUAUCCAAACUUCACCCUCAAACACCACAGACAGACAACCCUCCUGUCUGGAGGAUUGGGAAGAUAAUUUAAUUUUUCUUCUGUCUUUUCGAAGAACUGUGCACCAAGCAGAUUUUUUUUACAGUGUAUAAUUAUACAUAAUGGGUCAUUAAAAGUUUUAAUUACAACCUUGUUUUUUUAAGAAUAUGGGCAAAAAUAGAUUGCCCUCUUUGCUGAGAGAUGAUUGGCUUGUUUCAGGAUCUGCUAAGUAUAUAUAGCAGCUUUGUUCAGUAGUUAUGCAUUCACCUUUAAACUUCAAGAAGCCAGCCAGUUGUCCUUGUGAUUUUCAAAAAAAGCUACACGUUUUGUUUGUUUUUCUUUUUGGACCAUAAGAGCAAAUAUGAAAGCUGUGGCAUUCCUGAUGUGUUUGCUGGGCUCCUCAAUAGCUGCCCCUGCCCCUGACAGUGACAGCAAUGAGCAGGCAAUUAUUAGUCAUGCUAACACAGCACUGCAGUUGAUGGAACUCUACAGAAUGUUUGGACAUCUGCGGCAACAGGGUUUUGGUGCUGUUCCUGUUGGUGCUCAACUGCCUGCAGCACUCUCAGCGCCCGCAGCACCCGCACCUGUUCAUGCCCAGCCUCAGGUUUCACCUCAAGCACCACAGCAGGGCAUUUUCUUCAACCCCACAGGAGAUGAAUCAGAUGAGGAAGGAGCACCGCAGUUUCGUGGGUUUUAUCCUCCCUAUGGCUACCAGCCUGCCCAGCGGGCUGCUCCUUUGAACUCAGAUGAGGCAGAAGGGGCAGAAGCAGCAGAAGGAGCCGAGGCUGGAGCCGAACCUGAACCUGCUGGAGCCGCUGCAGUCGCUACUGCCGCAAAUGAGAUCGCACCUGUUGAUGUUGCCGUAGAUGUUACUGUUGAACCUGCUACCGAAGUCAUUGCUUCUGCUGUUCCAUUCCUCAUCCCUGAGGUACCGGCAGUCGCUGUGGACACUGACACCACUUUGGUGGGGCCUGAUGCCACUGCUGGUGCAGACCAGGUGUUGGUGGCUGAUGCAAACGCUGCUGCUCUGCCUGUGCAGUGAAAGAGAUGAUCACAAGCCCCUCCCCAUAGAUCAUAACCAAUCAGUCACAUCACUGACAUUAAGAACAAACUUCAAUGGUAUGAACAUUAUAGCACAGGGACUUGGCUAGACAGAGGGGUGUCUAACUGGCUUGCUUCAACAAAGUGUGGCACAUUCUUGUUGUGUUGUGUGUAAAAAUGUUUCCUGGCAGAUGACAAUUUUUAUUUUAUUUUUUUUAUCAACCUCAUUGUAAGAAUUGAGCCUAUACCGCUACAGACAGCAUUACUUGUUAAAAGUAAAGUAUUCUCUUUCAGUUUCUUAAAAUAAAAUGUCUUUUGUCAACUGAAAUGUUACUGUGCAACACUAAAUGAGUUCCUUUGGCUCAGUGGUAGAGCAUUGUGUUAGCAGUGCAAAAGGUUGUGGGUUUGAUUCCCAGGGAGCAUGUGUACUGGUAAAACAAUGUUUAGCCUGAAUGCCCUAUAAGUUGCUUAAGUGUCUGCUACAUGUCAAGGCACAUGUUGAGUUUUCAUGUUUUAUGGGGACAUUCCAUAGAUGUAAUGGUUGUUAUACUGCACAAACUGUAUUUUCUAUCCCCUCCACCUACCCCUUACACAAAACUCUUCAUUUUUAGAUUGUCAAAAAAGAUAAUUCUCGACAACCAAAGGAAAAAAAAAAAGGUCAUAAUUUACUGGUAUUACUGUACUUGUGUGGAAAAGUGGCCCCCAUAACAUAGGGAAUACUAGGACCACACACACACAAGGCUCUUUGCAAUUAAAGGCCCUUUAAUCAUUUGAAAUGCAACACUCGGAAAGAAAAUAAAAAUGACAAAGUAUUGUUUUGGGUGAAGAAACCAAUCAAAUUGCAGAAAAUACAUUGUGGUAGUAGUAAUUUAAAGGCCUCUUUAAUCAUUAGAAAUCUAACUAUGUAACACAUGGACAAAAUAAAACAAUAAUAUAUAUAUAUAUAUAUAUAUAUAUAUAUAUCUGUAUUUAUAUAUAACAAAUGACUCAACACAAAAUACAUAUUUACAUAUACAAAUAUAUAAUAUUAUAUAUAAAUAUAUAUGAAACUAUUAAAAAUCAAAAAUAAAAACAACUAUACAACUACUAUACAAAAGAUUAUAAAUAAAAUUUGAAAAAAAGAAAAGAAAAUGAGAAAGAGAAGGAAACGAAAAAAGAAAAAGAAAAAGAAAAGGAAAUGGAAAAGGUAAAGGAAAAGGAGAAAGAAAAAGAAAAGGAAAGAGAAAAAAGAGGGGUUGGUAUCAGACUUUUUAUCAGUCAUUUCUAAUCUGUGAUUUUACAAAGUUCAAAGUAAUCAUCAUUGAUUAUUUCUCAUGUCAACUUCAUUUUCUCAAGCCCUAAGGAGGUAUUUGUGAUUAACCCAGCGGGACUCCUGUACUAGCAAUGGCUGCUUAUAAUCACAACUCCUGUCAUCUACAAUUGGACAGGUAUAAUUGCAAGGUAAUAAUUAAAUGUUCAUGUUUUAAUAAGAUGAGGUUACCAGGAGAUGAGAGAAGGAUACCAAUAGAAGAUGCCUCCUUUUUAUUAACCUCUGAAGUGUGCUCCCUUACAGUACGUCUCCCUUAGUCUCUUAAUUCAUAUUCUCUAAUAAAGAUGAUAAAAGUAAUAUAUUCAGCACCAUCCAACAUGAUAUGUACAUUGUGGUAGCUUAAUAAAUGGGUGCAAUACUUUUGAGAAUUUUAUACUGUGUCUCUUUGCAUAGAGUCUGCUUUGAGGAGCUGCAGCAUGAAUAUCUCCUGAUAUGGUUCCUCUUGGACUACAACUCUGACCUGCUCUGACCUCUGAGAGGUGGUGGAGGAUGAAGAUGAAGAUGAAGAGGAGGAGAAGGAAAAGAAGGAAGAAACAGAAGAGCCAGAGAAAGAGGAAGGGACAGAGAAAGAGAAGUUAGAAGAAGACAAGGAAAAGACAGAAGAAAAAGAGGAGGAAAAGAUGGAGAAAGCGACUAAAGAGGAAAAGCAAGACGGGGAGACAUAGGAUAAGACCCAAAGAGACUGUUUCAUAAUAAAACAGAGAAUAGCGCUGGAUAAAAAUCACUAAACACUAAUACAGUCAAAUUAAAAACAAACUUAUUCUUAACUCUUGUUCUUAGUUACACUAAUUUGUUUAGGCAAUUUGGAUUUGUUCAUUCACUCCAUUUUUUGUACAGCCAAUAAUUUCUUGUCAAGGCAACUACAGAUUUCUUGUCCAGCAAAUUAUCAAUUAGGAACACCAGUUUAAUUUGUAUUUCUUUCUAACAUAGAUUUCUACUAUUUUUACAUAAAGUAAACAGAAGUUAAACACUAAAAAAAAAAAAAAAAAAUAUUCUUGCAAAUUCAAGACAAUACUUACAAAGAUGGAUGCUUAACAUGACCACACAAGAAGGUAACAGUGAC